CUCACAAAUAAGAACCAAUUUUUCUUUCAAUAGAAAUGAGCGGAGUGUUCGAGUAGAGAAUUGUCACUAUCAAUACUUGCCCAAAAGACUGAAUGGUCAUUAUCUAUUCCCAAGUUGUGAUAGAUAUGAAACAAGCAAUACCAUAAUGUUUUGCUUUCCUCCCUCUCACAGGGAAGGAGCAAGGGGCUUUGAGGGAGCCUUCUGAGAGGAGGAAGACCAUACUUAAUGCUAAUAACACGGGGAAGACGGAGACUGGGGAUUGCAGUACAGAGUUUUGAGUUUCCAAAAAAUUUUUGAUAAUGAUCCUGUUCUAGGGAUUUGAUGAGCGACAAACAUAAAAAUUUUAAAGUGAUCCAGAAACCUUUAAAACGAGAUCUAUCAUAUGACAAAUGCUCAUAAAUAGCAUGAGGAUUAGAUAAAAGAGGUUACUGACUUCCUCAAGGUGCCCAGAAAAUAACUGACAGCAUCCCAAGAACACAGUCCUUACUGUCCAGUACAAGCUCCUCUUCACUGUCCCAAGCCACACAUGUACUCUGAGCACACGUGUUAAUGAGACUCGUAUUGUGUAGUAAUUCUACUCUGAAGUUUGUUGCUUUGGCCUAUGGAUAGAUUGAGAACCUUCGAAGCAAUUAGCACCAAUGAUUGUUAGAAUGAGAGGAGCAAGGUUAGUGAUCUGCUCUAAAGAAGCAAGUGGCACCAUGCUGUGUGAGCUGACCAUUAGUCAGCAUCACUUUAACCCAGGAAAGCCUGCUGCUGAAGUGGCCUAAGGUGAUGAAUCACAAGGAGCAUCUUGCUCUUGACUUGGCUGCCAUUAAAGUGAUGCCAAGCACCACAUAACCAACUGAAAGGCGUCAAGGGGUUGGCAAGCCACUUGCACAACAGAGUUUGAUGUUAAGCAUCUGGGAGUUUCCAGCAUAUGAAGGAUACAUGGGGGUUCCGAAAUUACCUACAUCACUGAGCACUGUACAGCUGUCACUUAAUAUUUAAACUGGAUGAGAAAUCACAAAAACUCUGGUUUCUCAAAAGCAGAACUACAAGCUGUCAAAGUUGUUGGGUCCUUGGAGGCUAUCCCAACUUAAUUACUUAUUUCACAAAUGGAGAAACGUGCCAUUAUUCAUGUGGGCAGAAGAAAGAAUACGGAGCUAGAAUCCUUCCUGGGUAUCUUGUUUUAGGGGAUUAUAGACAUAGACUCUUAAGGAACACCAUCUGUGCAAGAGGCACAGCGCACUGACUAAAUGCAUGCUGAGAGUCUCCUGGUUAAAUCCACCCUCUUCCUGUUUCACUUCACAUGCAGAUGCUGGAAAGGGUAGGGACCUAAUGAGAGGCAGCAGUCAGCCCCUCCCAGCUGUUCUUGCUCUAACCACAUCCUGGUCAGGUGCCAUUAUUCCCUGGCUCCCCUGACUUAUUCUUCACACUGUCCUCACUGAUGAUGGCUUUCCUAAAGCACUGUUGCCCUUCCAAAAACACUCCAACAAGGCAAUUUAUAGCUGACCUAUGUUUUUCUAAUAAUGUUUUCUCUCCUCUCUUCAUCCUGGAAAUCCACGUGUCUCAGUUGCUCUCAAUCACUGCCACGAGUCUGGUGAUGCGCUAAGCUCGGGGCAGGAUCUCAAGGGCUUUGAGGUAAAUAAGGUACCCUCUGUGGGCUCUGUUUCAAUUAGAUGCUAGAGCAAUUGUCAUCAUUUUAGAGAACAAAGAUACUGUGAUCGAAAACCGUGAAGGCUGCUGUCUAUGUCAUGCUUGUCCCUAGUUUACAUGCAUUUUCCAGAUAACCAAAUCCAAUAAGCCCUGAGUGCACCCUGAUCCCCUCUCCACUCCCGUGUCAGCUCCAAAUGGAUGGAAGAUGACAGGAAGGAACUAGCUGGGACACAGAGCAAAACUUCUAGAGUUAAUGAGACAGUAACUCUCAUCUUAGUUCCUGAUGAAGGACCUAAAGCUGUUUGGUGUGGCUAGGAGCAUAUGAUUUUCCUGAGGGACCUGUUAAACAAGUCCCAUCUCUCUUGAGUUUCAGCUUACAUAGCCAGAAAAUAAAUCCUUUCCCUGUUCCAAGCAAAGUACUAGGACAUCUUGCUUCUCUUGCCUCUACAGACAGCAAGAUGACUUCAUGGCUUUCUCUUUCACCACAGUCACUGGUGCUCAGUACAAAUGAGACUCACCUUAGAAAGAAAGAAAAGAAAGAAAGAAAGAGAAAAAGAGGGGGAGGGAGAGAGGAGGGAGGGAGAAAGGGAGGAAAGAAGGAAGGGAGGGAGGGAGGGAGGAAGGAAGGAAGGGUGGAUUUGGAAAACACACUUACAGCCUCCUAGAGAGGAAAUAGGCCGUGAAACCUAAUGAAGAAAGAACCAUAGACCAAGGUCACAACAGCAAAAACAGAAAGAAAAAAUAUGAGCACAUUACUUCGUAGAAGUAAUACAUAAAACAUCUGCAGCAGAGGCAUUAUCUUCUACUUAAUGAGCUAAAUGCAUUAUUUAUUAAUCCUGUUAUAUGUGUGUAUCAGAGGUCAGAGGGAAACUUGUAGGAGUCGAUGUUCUUAUUCCUUGUGUCUGGAGAAUUGAACUCAGCCUAUUAGGGUUGGUGGCAAAGGAAUAGUUAUAAACAGACCACCCCCCCCCCAAGCGACCACAUGUAACUCAUUGAUUUUGGCAGGAUGUCUGCAUCAUCUGUAUUGACCUGCUCCCCAGAUUAAUACCGAAGCACUGCAAUUUCUUGAGGAUUAUCCACCUAGGAGGAAAUGAUACGCUGGCCCAUCCAUAGUAGUCAAGAAACAGUCUGAGAUCCAAAAAGUGGCUUAAAAGAGGGAAAAGUUAAUCAAAAUGUCUGUGAAGCUCUGGCUUCAGUCUCUCCAGCGAGGCUUUCUGAAGCACAGCUCUGAUAGAACUAAACCCAAUGAGACACCGCCUACAAGAGGAAUCCAGCGUGUGAACGAAGACUAAAAAGCAAAACAGCAGCGUCUGGAGUGGACAGCUUCUCUCACUCAGAGAACUGUAGCCUCAAAUUCCUGGCAGAGGUGAGACUAGAACUCAGUCUCAUGGUAUUGCCUACAGUUAACAACAUUAGUUGAAUUGUGUGUGUCUUAAUUUCACUUAUGUAAAUGGAAUGAACAGGUAGACAUGGUAGUGCGGGUCUGUCAUUCCGGCACCAGGGAGGCUGAGGCAGGAUAACAAUGUGUUAACAUUCCACCUGAUUUAUACAGUUAGUGUCAGACUAAUCUGAGCCAUAGGCUGAAAACUUGUCUCAAGUCAAUCAACGAAGAGAAGCAUAAAAAUAUCCCAACCAUCCUGAGAUUUUCAGUUUUAUAAGUAAAACAAGUCUAAGUCCAACAUGAGACUGCUAUUCAAACAAACAAACAAACAACAAACGCUGAAGAUGGGCCCAGGAGGGUCCUGCCAUUACUAGCAAAGGGCCGCCAUUACUAGGUCAAGGCCUAGACUCCGAUGUGAUUGGGUUGAGCAGGCAGCAUAGGCCUCAGUUUGCGGAAAAUGAAAAUGCAAGGUGCCUUUCUCAAAGUGAUUUUGAAUUUUAGCGGCUAGAGAGAGCAGAGUAUCAAACCACGAUGAAGGGCUUCUAGUUAUCACACACACACACACACACACACACACACAGAGAGAGAGAGAGAGAGAGAGAGAGAGAGAGAGAGAGGGAGAGAGAGAGAGAGACUCUGCCUUCACACUUGCUGACAACAAAAAUCACAUCGUCCUCCACACUCCCUGUGAGCACAGGAAGGACUACGUGAGGUCUCUGGAGUGUGAUAAGCUUCCCAUAGGAGACUAACCAGGAGAGAGCAUCUAUAUACCGAAUCUUAACUGUGCCUUUGCUUCUCAAAAUGAUAGCCUGCUGAUGCAAGGCUGUGAUUUCCUGAAUAUAUUCCCAUUUCUGUUGCCAGCCUUGUAUUCCCUAGGUUGUCCAAAAAAAAAAAAAAAGUUGUGGAUGUGAUGAUUCUUUUUUUUCUUUUUAUUAUGCUUCAGUGAGCUUUCAAACUUAGCUGGUCAGAAAUAAUGAAUUUAUGCGCGUACACACACACACACACACACACACACACACACACACACACACCUAGCCUACCUUAAUUUUAUCAGUUAAUAAAGAGAGCCAAACUAUUCAGAAUAUUUAAUACAAAGAACAAAAGAGUGGCACCGCCUGAAGAAUGUCAGCAGUGUUUUCAGCUCCGCCGCCCGCUCCGCCCUGUCUUGUUUUGCACUUUAUCUUCCUGGAGCCUUUCCAGGAGACAAAUCUUUCCAUCAGAAUCUUUGUGGGUUGAAGCCCGUGUCCUGUCAGGUUGUGUAUCAAAAUUUCUGGUGAAUUUUUCCUCCUCAAUAUUUCAGACCUAUAAAAAAGAUUUGCAAAGGCAGAACUCUAGAUAUUAUAAUCACUCCAAGCACAGAAAAAAAAAAGUGGUAAAAGUUUUUCUUUUUCCCACUGCUAAAUACAGAAUGUUCCUCUGUUAGGUACCCUUAACACUGACAAAGCAUAUAUUUUUGUUUUAUCUGAAUGAAACAAAAUGUAGACUUAAACAUUACAUUUCAGAGUACACUCUGCUAUUUCUUACUAUUCGAGGAACAUAUUUCACAAAAGCAAUAUCUACUCUUAUUUAGGUUUCUUGGAAGAGAAGAAUGAGAUUGGAUCUGAGAAAAUGUGGCUGGUAAUGAACUCUACGAAGGGAUUUUUAUACUCUCUCUUUGGCAGUCCAUCCUGUGAAAUAAUAAUGAGGUUGGAGGAUGGCUGCUAACCAUCCCUUGCUUUUCCGUGCCAGGGAACCACCAUCUCAGAUGGUAGAAACCACUCAGAAGGAUCAACUGCUGCAGACGGGAAGAGGAGCAACCUCGUGAAUAAUUUCGUGACAGGAUAUUGCAGGAGGGACUUUGUCCAAAUGUGUGCAGGCUCCCACUGCCAGGAUUGGAGCUGCCCCUGUCACCAUAUGGACCAUGUCACCUAAACUGUGAGCCAAUGUGAACCUCCCCAUGUUGUGUCACUCCCACCAGGUAGUUGGCUACAGCAACAAGGAUGACGAACACAGAUGAAUUGAUCAGGAUGUAACCAUUCAAAGUUGAGAGGAUUAGAGGACUUCUCCGAGGCGGCUCCAAUGGAUGCCAGCAGAGUUAAAGUGUCCAAUGGAGAGAAGAGAAGGCUUGGGAAAUCCAGAGUCCAUUCAUUCAUCGCCCUCCUCCUAGAACAACAAAAGCGAGCCCCAGUACUCAUCAGCAUGGACUCUGUGUGUAGUCAUCUCCCUUAGUUUCAGAGGUUCCUGCCUACAGCAAAACUUUAGAGGCUUAGAGUUUAACGGUCAUAGCUUAUUCACCUCCAACUGUGUCCUAGUUCAAGAGAAACACUUCACAUAUCUGUAGGGAGAAGAUAAUGAACCAAGGAUACAAGUUAAGCCUUAGCUAAGACCUGUUACUCAGGAAAAAGAGCUAAAACAAGCUGCUUAGAUCAGCACCAAUGUUAGGUAGAGAGAAAAAGAAACGCUGCAUAGAAAUCUUAAGGUUCACAUGUGCUCCAGGCUGGGUCAACAACUUCUAAUUUCCUUUGCCAACCAACCAUGUCUUUGACAGAAAUGAUCCUUCUACAUAGACCACAGAGGGAUCCAAUGGAGGUUUCUCUUCCUGAAUUUGGGGAUUCAGAAUCUGGACAAAUUCCUUUCCAUCAAAGUCCAGUACAAAAGUAGUACCAUGGCAGUCCCUGCAGGGACUUGCAUCACUUUCCCUAGAGAUAUCAAGAGAAUUUUUAGUGAUAAGAAUAUGGCACAAAAUGAGAAAUCCCAUUACUCUUAAGAGAAUCUCUUCCUUCUCAAAGGCACCUGAUUAAUACAUAUAGUACUAUCAGUAAGGCUGAGCAAAAGGAUACUGAUGUUCUGAGUGAUCUUAAAUCAUGUAAUAAUAACUUUAUUCGUAGUAUAGAACGGAAUAUUCCCUAUUAGUAAUCAGUUCCUUUGCCAGAUCCUCAUAGUAUCUUAGUCACUGUUUUAUUGUUAUGAAGAGAAACUUUGACCACAGCACCUCUUAGAAAAAAGGAAGCAUUUAAUCGGGACUUCCUUAUGGUUUCACAGUUUUACAUAAUUGUCAACAUGGCAGAGAACAUGGGGGCACGCAAACAGACAUGGUGCUGGAGAAGUAGCGGAGAAUAUACAGCAACAUAUAGAUACAAAAUAUAGAUACAUAUAGAUACAGAAUAUAGAUACAUAUAGCUACAUAUAGAUCUGCAGGCAGCAGGAAGAGACUGGGACAAGGCCAUACCUUCUAAGGCUUCUCAAGGAGUGUCACUUCCUGAUGACCAAGCAUUCAAGUGUAUGAGCUUAUGGGAGCCAUUCUUAUUCAAGCCACCACACAUAGCAAAGCUGAUAAUGUCAUUUUCUGAAUUAACCAGGCCAAGGCACACUUCUUAGCAACAUGGUUACCUGGUAACCAGAGAUUUUUCUCAUCCCAUGAGAGAUUUCAUUCAAGAACUGAUCUUCUAACAGUUUUGUCUCUCUUAAGAAUGCUACAGACAGGGUGGGGUGAGGCACAGUGCUGAAGCCCCUCAAGUUUCCCAGAGGGAUGAGUCCAUGAAAGACGAAAAUCAUGUGGUCACACUGAGCAUAGACUUCACAAGCAUCAUGCUAGGAUUCCAUUUUCUUUCUCAACACAAUGAUAAAUUCUUCUUCCAAUAAGCAGAAAAUCAUCCAAUGGGAAAAAAAAAUAAAACCAACUAACUUGCAGUCCUUUGGAACAGUUUCAUAGCUUACAGGAUGGCUUCAUAACCCUGGGGACACUCGUUUUGACAUGAAAACUUCCUUCAGAACAGGAAUUCUGAUCCAACAUGUGCUCAGACAUCAUUUCAGUCACUUGCAAAUGAACAAGAAAGCUCAUGUAAAUGAGGAGGCUCAACUCCCAGGCCUGGUGAGUGGGUAAGACAUUCCUCUGCUGGGUUUUGAAGGCUGUCUGAAACCAUCGGCUGACAUCCUUCUCUGUGUGCAUGUAUGCACUAUCUACGGGAAAUUCAGCUCCAACCGGUUGUCUCUACAGCUCCCUUAAUCUUCUCCUCCCUCCUCCUGGCAUUGGCAUGUGUCCCAGGACUGCAGCGAGGAGUGCUUACCAACAAAGGUGCUGGCAUCUGCAUUUGUUUCACAGCCACAAACCUAAUGGUUCCAUGAUUUUGGCGAGCAAAACUGUCAAAAUGCCUGAGCACAAGAGAUCACAAGAUGAGCCAAGGCAUAGUGUGCAUGCCUUCCUUCCCAGCACUCGGAAGGCAGAGGCAAGGGGAUCUCUGUGGGUUCAAGGCCAGCCUGAAUCACAAGGUGUACUGGGGAUUCUUUUUUAUUGUUUUCCUUUUGCUAUCUGGAAUAGUUUGAGAUUGUAUUUGAUCAGUGCAUUAAACAAC
rnacentral:lncRNA from 1 species